UACAACUUCCUCAAGAGAUUCAAUCAAGUUUAAAAUACAUUACACUACAGAUAUUGAAGUGAUUAACAGAUAUGUGUAGAUAAGGGUUUUGCAGAUAUUGACAAUCAAACUUGUAGAUGAAAACCUUCGACUUGGAAAGAAGAAUAGAGUGUGGCUCUGUGAGAGCCACGGUGAGGAUGGGAGUUUGUGAUUUCGAAACUCCACGACAGUGACGAUGAGAUCUACAGUCGGUGAGGAUGAGUGAGAGGAUAUCUUGUUUUUU
rnacentral:lncRNA from 1 species